rnacentral:rRNA from 1 species
GUGGGGAAUAUUGGACAAUGGGGGAAACCCUGAUCCAGCCAUGCCGCGUGAAUGAUGAAGGCCUUCGGGUUGUAAAGUUCUUUUGGCGGGGACGAUGAUGACGGUACCCGCAGAAUAAGCUCCGGCUAACUUCGUGCCAGCAGCCGCGGUAAUACGAAGGGAGCUAGCGUUGUUCGGAAUUACUGGGCGUAAAGGGCGCGUAGGCGGUCAAGCAAGUCAGAUGUGAAAGCCCUGGGCUCAACCCGGGAACUGCGUUUGAUACUGUUUGGCUUGAAUUCGGUAGAGGUGAGUGGAAUUCCCAGUGUAGAGGUGAAAUUCGUAGAGAUUGGGAAGAACACCAGUGGCGAAGGCGGCUCACUGGACCGACAUUGACGCUGAGGCGCGAAAGCGUGGGGAGCAAACAGGAUUAGAUACCCUUGUAGUCC